GAUGCCCCUCAGUUCUUGGAUAUUGUGUUCCAUACUUUUUAUUCUUUUACAGCUUUGCAUUUCAGUUUGGGAAGUUUCUGUUGACAUAACUAUAAGCUCAUUAAGUCUUUCCUUGGUCCUGCCGAAUCUACUGAUGAGCCCAUUAAAGGCAUGUUUUAUUUUUGUUAUAGUGUUUUUGAUGUCUAGCAUUUCCUUUUGAUUCUUAGAGUUUCUGUCUCCUGGCUUAAUUGCCCAUCUGUUCCUGAAUGUUUUUCCAUUAGACUCCUUAGCAUAUUAAUUAUAGCUAUUUUAAAUGACCAUUCCGAUAAUUCUGAAACCACUACCAUAUCUGAGUCUGGUUCUGAUAUUACUUUGAUUUUUCAAACUAUGUUUUUGCCUCUUCACAUGUUUUUAAAUUUCUUGUUGAAAGCCAGACAUGAUGUAUCAGGUAAAAGAAUAGGAGAAAAAUAGGCCUUUCAUUGGAGGUUUUAUGUUUGUCUGGCUAGGGUUGAUAUGCUGCUUAUUGUUUGCUGUAGUUGUAUGUCAGAGGAUAAAAUUUCUUCUAAUAUCCUUGGUUUUGUCUCCUCUGUUAUCUCUGGGUUUUCUUAGAGGCUCCUUCUUAAGUAGUGUCUGAGGCGUGCAGUUCUGUAAAGCCUUGUUAUUAUUCAGGAGCCCCGCUGAUGUGGUGGGAAGGUGUGGGCAGUGGGAAGUGCUGUGUAAUCCUAUGAUUAGAGCUCUGUCAUUCAGGGUGGCUGUGCCCUUCUGGCUGUGACCUUCACAAGUGCUUCUCAGGUAUUUCUUCUCUUAGGUGAAGCAGGAAGUCUAGUGUGAGCAGAAGUCGGGUACCUCAGUUUCCCCCUUAUCUACAGUUUCUCUUUCUGCAGUUUCAGUUGCCCAUGGUCAACUGAGGUCAGAAAACACCUUUAUGAUUGGCCUGAAAGAAAAUGCAGGGUCUUUCUUUAGCAAACUAAGCUCUCAACUGCAUCCUAAAUCUUCAGACUGCCUGUCAGGACUCUAGUCAUUGUGUUAGUUCAUAUUCUCUGAUUCAUCACACAGAUAUAUCCUGAUAAAAAUGUUGAAGGCCAAUGAUAAGAAAAUCUGAAAAAGAGCAGGAGAAAAAUGACUUAUGAAAAAGUCAAUC
rnacentral:lncRNA from 1 species